CACGCUUACACACGUACGAUAUUAUUAUCUCGUGAUUCAUAGCGCGCAUUCAUAAAUGUUCCCAAGCUGUAUAACGGCACGGUACACAGCGGUAUGUAUCGAUUAACGUCGCUUCCCGACGGGAUUUACAGCCGGUGACUAAAUUAUUUAAAGUCUUCAUUUGUAGCGCGACGGAUGGACGGACACGACCUGGCGACCACGUAUCCAGUUCUUCUUCGGGCGACCUGGUACAAUCGCUGACAAAAGUUCAUUAUAUCUUCGACCUCGACCAAAGCCCCGUUGAUGCACGUAUAUACAAUGGUACGUGGAGCUGCCGCGCUUACGCCGUGACUUCCACUCCAGGUGCUAAGCAUCGCAAUGGCACCGUGAAAAUGGAGUUAUUUUAUGUCGAGCUUAUGAGGAUCGUUUCAAAGAAAGGCUGCUUCCGCAGAAAAUGGUUACCGUCUGUAUACAGCUUGGUACACACUCUCAAAUUUAUACAAGCUGUUACCUUCGUUCUCAUCGUCAGCUCUUUCUACUCGGCUAUGAUCUUGCGUUACCAACGGCAACUACAAUGGUCGAUUUUCGUCAAAAUGGCGCGAAAGCGAAACUGCGCGUUCACGUGAUACACCGAACGCGUUAUUAGGUCAUAAUUAUUUACAAGCCGUUUGCCAAACAUCUGUGAAUUCACGC
rnacentral:misc_RNA from 1 species